rnacentral:rRNA from 1 species
UACGAAGGGGGCUAGCGUUGUUCGGAUUUACUGGGCGUAAAGCGUACGUAGGCGGAUUGUUAAGUGAGAGGUGAAAUCCCAAGGCUCAACCUUGGAACUGCCUUUCAUACUGGCAAUCUCGAGUUCGGAAGAGGUGAGUGGAAUUCCUAGUGUAGCAGUGAAAUGCGUAGAUAUUAGGAAGAACACCGGUGGCGAAGGCGGCUCACUGGCUCGAUACUGACGCUGAGGUGCGAAAGCGUGGGGAGCAAACGGG